rnacentral:rRNA from 1 species
AUUGAACGCUGGCGUCAGGCCUAACACAUUCAAGUCGAGCGGAUGAAGGGAGCUUGCUCCUGGAUUCAGCGGCGGACGGGUGAGUAAUGCCUAGGAAUCUUCCUGGUAGUGGGGGAUAACGUUCGGAAACGGGCGCUAAUACCGCUUACGUCCUGAGGGAGAAAGUGGGGGAUUUUCGGACUUCACGCUAUCAGAUGAGCCUAGGUCGGAUUAUCUAGUUGGUGGGGUAAAGGCCUACCAAGGCGACGAUCCGUAACUGGUCUGAGAGGAUGAUCAGUCACACUGGAACUGAGACACGGGCCAGAGUACUACGGGAGGCAGCAGUGGGGAAUAUUGGACGAUGGGCGAAAGCCUGAUCCAGCCAAGAAGCGUGUGUGAAGAAGGUAUUAGGAUUGUAAAGAACGUUAAGAUGGGAGGAAGGGAAGAAAGUUAAUACCUUGCUGUUUGGACGUUACAAACAGAAUAAGCUCCGAAUAACUUCGUG